rnacentral:tRNA from 1 species
GAAAGAUGGCUGAGUGGUCUAAAGCGCACGACUGGAACUCGUGUAUGCGUUAAUAGCGCAUCGAGGGUUCAAAUCCCUCUCUUUCC